GAUGAAGAACGCAGCGAAAUGCGAUAAGUAAUGUGAAUUGCAGAAUUCAGUGAAUCAUCGAAUCUUUGAACGCACAUUGCGCUCUUUGGUAUUCCGGAGAGCAUGCCUGUUUGAGAAUCAGUAAAUUCAUCAACCCAAGGUUCUUGGAAUUUAUUCUGAGAACUGGAAGGUUGGAUCUGGGCCAUUUGCUGCUUCGGCAGCAAUAGCCUGAAAUUGAAUGUUACGCUCCUAUGAACUGUGAAGUCUUGGGCAUACGCAUGAAUGAGGUAACUCAGAAGUACGUGAGCCUUUAAGAACGAUCAAUUCUAAGGUUGGGUGACUCAACUGAUUAACCAGAGUUUGUUGGCGUCAGCCGGCUUAUUCUGAACACUUGGUCUCAAAUCAGGUAGGAAAACCCGCUGAACUUAAGCAUAUCAAUAAGCGGAGGA
rnacentral:misc_RNA from 1 species